rnacentral:rRNA from 1 species
CUGCAGCGAUAAUACUUGUUCCCUUCGGGGUGGUAAUAGUAUUUGUGCUGAAGCCUAGCUAUUGUAACCCAGUUCUCCUGAGUGUGGCAACAUAUUUAGGAGGAUUGGGAAUCGACCGCUAGCAGGGCCCGCAAGGGCGUGGGAAAGUAAGCUAACAAGGUUUUCAUAAGAUCUUUCAGGUUUAUUUUUUCUAGUGGCCAGGCAGAGGUGUUUCUUACCUAUCAGCUCGUUGUUUGUUUAAAGGACAAACCAGGCUUUUACGGGUACGGGGAAUCAGUGUUCGAUUCCGGAGAGGGAGCCUGAGAAAUCGCUACCACAUCUAAGGACGGCAGCAGGCGCGCAAAUUACCCAAUCCCAAUACGGGGAGGUAGUGACAAGCUAUAGUGUCUCCACACCAUCGGUGGGGAGGUAUUAUCAUCUGAUAGUUUUCCAUGAUUUGGGUUUAGACAACCCUUAGAGCAGCCAUUGGAGGAAAAGUCUGGUGCCAGCACCCGCGGUAAUUCCAGCUCCAAGAGCGUAUAUUAAUACUGCUGUAGUUAAAACGCCCGUAGUAUAUCUAAGGGUGCAUGCGUAGUGAUUGGUUUUGUUGCGAUCCGAUCGGGAUGAGUUUAUAACUCGUUCUUGUUUGUUUGCAAUAAACUUUAGUCGGUAGGGCUUUUUGGUCCUCUCUCGACAGUUGCUGCGUUUGUACUCAACCCACGGUUCAUCCGUGUGGCCCUUUUGGGUUGCAACUGUAAAUAAAUCGUUGUGCUUAAAGCGGGCUAUGAAUACUCUGCCAGAACGAUUUAGCAUGGGACUGCAG